AGGAUCAGUGUGUUCAGAUCAUGGAUGGAAAGAUUUUAAGGCAAAAAAGACACCCAGAAAUGAUUUUCCACACAAGGCAUCUGGUCCCAAUCAUCAUCACUUCUGAUGAUGUCACAUACACAGCGAGU